rnacentral:rRNA from 1 species
AGAGUUUGAUUAUGGCUCAGGAUGAACGCUGGCGGCGUGCCUAACACAUGCAAGUCGAACGAGCGAGAGAUGAAACCUAGUGAUUCUCGAGCGAGUGGCGGACGGGUGAGUAACGCGUGGGUAACCUGCCUUACAGAGGGGGAUAACAGUCUGAAAAGACUGCUAAUACCGCAUAAGCACACAGUACCGCAUGGUACAGGGUGAAAAGAUUUAUCACUGUAAGAUGGACCCGCGUCUGAUUAGCCAGUUGGCAGGGUAACGGCCUACCAAAGCGACGAUCAGUAGCCGACCUGAGAGGGUGAUCGGCCACAUUGGGACUGAGACACGGCCCAAACUCCUACGGGAGGCAGCAGUGGGGGAUAUUGCACAAUGGAGGAAACUCUGAUGCAAGCGACGCCGCGUGAGUGAAGAAGUAUUUCGGUAUGUAAAGCUCUAUCAGCAGGGAAGAUAAUGACAGUACCUGACCAGGAAGCCCCGGCUAACUACGUGCCAGCCGCCGC